GGACUACUAGGGUAUCUAAUCCCGUUCGCUCCCCUGGCUUUCGCAUCUCAGCGUCAGUCGUUCGCCAGGACACUGCCUUCGCCUUCGGUGUUCCUCCGGAUCUCUACGCAUUUCACCACUCCACCCGGAAUUCCGUGUCCCUCUCGAACCCUCAAGUCGUACCGUCUUUCGAACACUCGGGCGGUUAAGCCACCCGCUGUCACCCGAAACGCGUACCACCGCCUGCAUGCCCUUUACGCCCAGUAACUCCGGACAACGCUCGCCCCCUACGUAUUACCGCGGCGGCUGGCAC
rnacentral:rRNA from 1 species